rnacentral:rRNA from 1 species
GAUGAACGCUAGCUACAGGCUUAACUCAUGCAAGUCGAGGGGUAACGAGAGGAAAGCUUGCUUUCCUUGUCGACGACCGGCGCACGGGUGAGUAACGCGUAUCCAACCUGCCCCCAACUAGGGAAUAACCUUGCGAAAGUAAGACUAAUACCCUAUAAUUUCCUCAGAUGUCAUCUGACGAGGAAUAAAGAUUUAUCGGUUGUGUAUGGGGGUGCGUCUGAUUAGCUUGUUGGCGGGGUAACGGCCCACCAAGGCAACGAUCAGUAGGGGUUCUGAGAGGAAGGUCCCCCGCAUUGGAACUGAGACACGUUCCAAACUGCUACAGGAGGCAGCAGUGAGGAAUAUUGGUCAAUGGGCGGACGCCUGAACCAGCCAAGUAGCGUGCAGGAUGACGGGCCUGUGGGUUGUAAACUGCUUUUAUACAGGAAUAAAGUUAGCCACGUGUGGUUAUUUGUAGGUACUGUAUGAAUAAGGACCGGCUAAUUCCGUGCCAGCCGCCGCCGCAGUAA